UACGGGGGGGGCAAGCGUUUGUUCGGAAUUACUUGGGCGUAAAGGGCUCGUAGGCGGCCAACUAAGUCAGACGUGAAAUCCCCAGGCUCAACCUGGGAACUGCGUCUGAUACUGGAUGGCUUGAAUCCGGGAGAGGGAUGCAGAAUUCCAGGUGUAGCGGUGAAAUGCGUAGAUAUCUGGAGGAAUACCGGUGGCGAAGGCGGCAUCCUGGACCGGCAUUGACGCUGAGGAGCGAAAGCUAGGGGAGCAAACAGG
rnacentral:rRNA from 1 species